UGGGGAAUAUUGCACAAUGGGCGCAAGCCUGAUGCAGCCAUGCCGCGUGUAUGAAGAAGGCCUUCGGGUUGUAAAGUACUUUCAGCGGGGAGGAAGGUGUUGUGGUUAAUAACCACAGCAAUUGACGUUACCCGCAGAAGAAGCACCGGCUAACUCCGUGCCAGCAGCCGCGGUAAUACGGAGGGUGCAAGCGUUAAUCGGAAUUACUGGGCGUAAAGCGCACGCAGGCGGUCUGUCAAGUCGGAUGUGAAAUCCCCGGGCUCAACCUGGGAACUGCAUCCGAAACUGGCAGGCUUGAGUCUUGUAGAGGGGGGUAGAAUCCCAGGUGUAGCGGUGAAAUGCGUAGAGAUCUGGAGGAAUACCGGUGGCGAAGGCGGCCCCCUGGACAAAGACUGACGCUCAGGUGCGAAAGCGUGGGGAGCAAACA
rnacentral:rRNA from 1 species